GAUGAAGAACGUAGCGAAAUGCGAUAAGUAAUGUGAAUUGCAGAAUUCAGUGAAUCAUCGAAUCUUUGAACGCACAUUGCGCCCCUUGGUAUUCCGAGGGGCAUGCCUGUUCGAGCGUCAUUAUAACCCCUCAAGCUCAGCUUGGUGUUGGGCCCUGCUGCACUGGCAGCCCUUAAAAUCAGUGGCGGCGCCAUCUGGCUCUAAGCGUAGUAAUUCUUCUCGCUAUGGAGUCCUGGUGGAUGCUUGCCAUCAACCCCCAAUUUUUCUAUGGUUGACCUCGGAUCAGGUAGGGAUACCCGCUGAACUUAAGCAUAUCAAUAAGCGGAGGA
rnacentral:misc_RNA from 1 species